rnacentral:rRNA from 1 species
AGAGUUUGAUCAUGGCUCAGGACGAACGCUGGCGGCGCGCUUAACACAUGCAAGUCGAGCGAGAACCAGGACUUCGGUCCUGGGGACAGCGGCGAACGGGUGAGUAACACGUGGGUAAUCUGCCCUCGAUUCUGGGAUAGCCCGGGGAAACCCGGAUUAAUACCGGAUAGCCUUUCGAGCUUUCGGGCUUGGAAGAAAAGGUAGCUUCGGCCUCCGAUCGAGGAUGAGCCCGCGGUGGAUUAGCUUGUUGGCGGGGUAAUGGCCCACCAAGGCGACGAUCCAUAGCUGGUCUGAGAGGACGAUCAGCCACACUGGGACUGAGACACGGCCCAGACUCCUACGGGAGGCAGCAGUGGGGAAUCUUGCGCAAUGGGCGAAAGCCUGACGCAGCGACGCCGCGUGGGGGAAGAAGGCCUUAGGGUUGUAAACCUCUUUCAGGUGGGACGAAGCCACUCGGGUUAAUAGCCCAGAGGGUGACGGUACCGCCAGAAGAAGCCCCGGCUAACUACGUGCCAGCAGCCGCGGUAAUACGUAGGGGGCAAGCGUUGUCCGGAUUUAUUGGGCGUAAAGAGCGUGUAGGCGGCCAGGUAGGUGGGUUGUGAAAACUGGAGGCUCAACCUUCAGACGUCGACCCAAACCCCCUGGCUAGAGUCCGGAAGAGGAGAGUGGAAUUCCUGGUGUAGCGGUGAAAUGCGCAGAUAUCAGGAAGAACACCCGUGGCGAAGGCGGCUCUCUGGGGACGGUACUGACGCUGAAACGCGAAAGCGUGGGGAGCGAACAGGAUUAAAUACCCUGGUAGUCCA